GACAAUAUUUUGUGGUUACAGCAUUCCUCAUCCUUCGGAAGCCUGGGUUAAUGUUAGAGUUCAAACGACAGAUGAGCCAGCAAGAGAGGUAUUGAAAGAUGCAUGCCAAGAUCUGAUGCUGAUGUGUCAACACAUAAGGGGCACAUUCGAUAAAGCUGUUAACGAU